rnacentral:snoRNA from 1 species
AUUCCAUGAUGGGGACAUUCUAGGAUGUAGUCUUGAAAGCGCUCCCAUGCUUCUAGAACAGAUUCAUCAUUUUGUUGCUGAAAACUUGUAAUCUUCCCACAGAGAGC